UUCCCUGUUGUACAUAACGCUCUGGGACUGUUUCUGUCUCGUUCCCAAGGGAGAGUGGAAAUGAGGCACAGGCAGUUAAAAUCGGGGGGAAAGGAGAUUUCUCCUGUGGUGGCUUCCUGAGGACAUGGGCUGUCUGAAGUGGUUCCUGGAUUGGAGCCUUCUGGGUGUUCCCCUCUCCUCAAAGAGUCUUAAUGAAAAUGACUGAUAGGAGAUUCAGAAAGUUCCUCUUCCUGCAUCGUGUCACCAGCCUCUGAAACUCAUUGCCACUGGACGGGACGACGACGGCUGUUAGGGUUAAUCACUGUUUGGAGUCAACUGAGUUUGCAGAUCAUAUCUACAUGGCAUCCAAGCCCCCCCCACACUUUUAUGUCCCCCCCAAGAACUAAUCUUUGAGAUCCAUUUUCCAAAAUAAAUCCUUUUCCUGUUAGAAAAAUUACCAAUUUUAAUUCAAUAAUAAUUUCCCAUUUAGUUUGUCAAU